rnacentral:rRNA from 1 species
GAUGAACGCUAGCGGCAGGCUUAAUACAUGCAAGUCGAGGGGCAGCAGUUUUGUAGCAAUACAGAAGCUGGCGACCGGCAAACGGGUGCGGAACACGUACGCAACCUUCCUUUAACUGGAAGAUAGCCAACCGAAAGGUGGAUUAAUACUCCAUAACAUAUUGAAGAGGCAUCUCUUUGAUAUUAAAGCUCCGGCGGUUAAAGAUGGGCGUGCGUCUGAUUAGGUAGUUGGCGGGGUAACGGCCCACCAAGCCUUCGAUCAGUAGCUGAUGUGAGAUCAUGAUCAGCCACACGGGAACUGGGACACGGGCCCUACUCCGACGGGAGGCAGCAGUAAGGAAUAUUGGUCAAUGGACGCAAGUCUGAACCAGCCAUGCCGCGUGGAGGAUGAAGGCCCUCUGGGUUGUAAACUUCUUUUCUUUGGGACGAAACCCCUGUUUCUACGGGGACUGACGGUACCAGAGGAAUAAGCACCGGCUAACUCCGUGCCAGCCGCCGCGGUAAUAC